rnacentral:rRNA from 1 species
GAUGAACGCUGGCGGCGUGCCUAAUACAUGCAAGUCGAGCGAACAGAUGAGGAGCUUGCUCCUCUGACGUUAGCGGCGGACGGGUGAGUAACACGUGGAUAACCUACCUAUAAGACUGGGAUAACUUCGGGAAACCGGAGCUAAUACCGGAUAAUAUAUUGAACCGCAUGGUUCAAUAGUGAAAGACGGUUUUGCUGUCACUUAUAGAUGGAUCCGCGCCGCAUUAGCUAGUUGGUAAGGUAACGGCUUACCAAGGCAACGUUGCGUAGCCGACCUGAGAGGGUGAUCGGCCACACUGGAACUGAGACACGGUCCAGACUCCUACGGGAGGCAGCAGUAGGGAAUCUUCCGCAAUGGGCGAAAGCCUGACGGAGCAACGCCGCGUGAGUGAUGAAGGUCUUCGGAUCGUAAAACUCUGUUAUUAGGGAAGAACAAAUGUGUAAGUAACUAUGCACGUCUUGACGGUACCUAAUCAGAAAGCCACGGCUAACUACGUG